UAGCUCUCUUCUUUCUUAGAGUCAUCGGCUGUGCUGGUAAAUCAACAGUUCCCGAAGACCUUCAACUUUCGUCAAUGUUUUGCUCUCGGCAACAUCAGUGCUGGUAAAUCCUAAUUGGAAAUCGAGUUUUGGGAGGACUUGAUGAAAUGGUUUCUUUCUAUGGAAUGUGCACUUUUUCGCUAUCGUUUUCGUUUUCUAACUACUGAAGCUCAGG